UCCGUAGGUGGAUAAUUAAGUCAGAGGUGAAAUCCUGCAGCUCAACUGUAGAAUUGCCUUUGAUACUGGUUAUCUUGAGUCAUUAUGAAGUGGUUAGAAUGUGUAGUGUAGCGGUGAAAUGCAUAGAUAUUACACAGAAUACCGAUUGCGAAGGCAGAUCACUAAUAAUGUACUGACACUGAGGGACGAAAGCGUGGGGAUCAAACAGGAUUAGAUACCAUGGUAGUCC
rnacentral:rRNA from 1 species